UGCUCAGCAACUCCUAUCCCUACCUCCACGCGGUACCGGCCGGAAACUAUGAGCAACCUUAGGAAAGAUCGGGUAACCAACCCCGGUGGGAACUUUGGUCGUAGGCUGACAGGGAAGG
rnacentral:ribozyme from 1 species